rnacentral:rRNA from 1 species
GAACGGACGAGAAGCUUGCUUCUCUGAUGUUAGCGGCGGACGGGUGAGUAACACGUGGAUAACCUACCUAUAAGACUGGGAUAACUUCGGGAAACCGGAGCUAAUACCGGAUAAUAUUUUGAACCGCAUGGUUCAAAAGUGAAAGACGGUCUUGCUGUCACUUAUAGAUGGAUCCGCGCUGCAUUAGCUAGUUGGUAAGGUAACGGCUUACCAAGGCAACGAUGCAUAGCCGACCUGAGAGGGUGAUCGGCCACACUGGAACUGAGACACGGUCCAGACUCCUACGGGAGGCAGCAGUAGGGAAUCUUCCGCAAUGGGCGAAAGCCUGACGGAGCAACGCCGCGUGAGUGAUGAAGGUCUUCGGAUCGUAAAACUCUGUUAUUAGGGAAGAACAUAUGUGUAAGUAACUGUGCACAUCUUGACGGUACCUAAUCAGAAAGCCACGGCUAACUACGUGCCAGCAGCCGCGGUAAUACGUAGGUGGCAAGCGUUAUCCGGAAUUAUUGGGCGUAAAGCGCGCGUAGGCGGUUUUUUAAGUCUGAUGUGAAAGCCCACGGCUCAACCGUGGAGGGUCAUUGGAAACUGGAAAACUUGAGUGCAGAAGAGGAAAGUGGAAUUCCAUGUGUAGCGGUGAAAUGCGCAGAGAUAUGGAGGAACACCAGUGGCGAAGGCGACUUUCUGGUCUGUAACUGACGCUGAUGUGCGAAAGCGUGGGGAUCAAACAGGAUUAGAUACCCUGGUAGUCCACGCCGUAAACGAUGAGUGCUAAGUGUUAGGGGGUUUCCGCCCCUUAGUGCUGCAGCUAACGCAUUAAGCACUCCGCCUGGGGAGUACGACCGCAAGGUUG